rnacentral:lncRNA from 1 species
CCUGGUAUAGUCGUGUUGGUCACCGUGGAAUUGUCUCAACACCGGGUGGAUGCUUGCUGACGGUGGAAGUUUUAGUCCAUGUAAAAAGUCUGUAAUUUUAGCAAAUCGGUGAGGGGAUCUGUGAGGGGAGCAGCAAGUAUGGCGUAAUAUUUAACAAACUUUCGAUAAAAACUAAUGAGGCCCAAAAAUCUCCGAAGUG